CAUAGCGACUAUCGUGGCAUAUCAAUAAGCGGAGGAAAAGAAACUAACAAGGAUUCCCCUAGUAACGGCGAGUGAAGCGGGAAGAGCUCAAAUUUGAAAUCUUCAAGGGUUUCCCUUGACGAAUUGUAGUUUAAAGAAGUGUUUUCUGUUGGAGUUUUGGUAAAAGUUCUUUGGAAUAGGACAUCAUAGAGGGCGAGAAUCCCGUAUUUGACCAUUAUUUCCAACUUUGUGAUACACUUUCAAAGAGUCGGAUUGUUUGGGAAUGCAGUCCAAAAUGGGUGGUAAAUUUCAUCUAAAGCUAAAUACUGGCGAGAGACCGAUAGCGAACAAGUACCGUGAGGGAAAGAUGAAAAGAACUUUGAAAAGAGAGUUAAACAGUACGUGAAAUUGUCAAAAGGGAAGCGUUUGACACCAGUGUUGUUUUCUCGAAAAUCAAUUAAAAAUGGCGGGAUUUUGUGUUGUAUUGACUUUAUCAGCUUUCUGCACUUUUUUCUUAUCUUUUUUAAUGCACUUUUCGUUUAACAAGUCAACAUCAAUUUCUUUUGUUGUAAAAGAGUCAUUGGAAGGUGGCUUUUUCUUCGGAAAAAGUGUUUAUAGCCUUUGGCUUCUGCAAUCGGAGAGAUUGAGGUCUGCAGCGUAGAUCCUUCGGGGUUAGAUACAUUUGUGCUAAGCUAUAGUUCUUUAUAGACAACUUGUUGACUAUGAUCAGUCCUGUAGCUUACUCGCUUAUGCUAUUUUACCUACGCUUAGGAUGUUGAUAUGCAUGACUGAUAU
rnacentral:rRNA from 1 species